AGGAAACCGUCCCGACUCGAGGCAGGAGU
rnacentral:sRNA from 1 species